UUCUGUGUCUCCCUCUCUCUCUGCCCCUCCCCUGCUCACAUUCUCUCUCUCUCUCUAAAAUAAAGAAACAUUAACAAAAAAAGUUAUAGGGGUGCCUGGGUGGCUCAGUCAGUUGAGCGUCCGACUUUGGCUCAGGUCAUGAUCUCAUGGUUUGUGAGUUCAAGCCCCGCGUCGGGCUUUGUGCUGACAGCUCAGAGCCUGGAGGCUGCUUCGGAUUCUGUGUCUUCCCCUCUCUCUCUGCCCCUCCCCCACUCACAUUCUGUCUCUGUCUCUCAAAAAAAUAAACAUUAAAAAAAUAAAAAAAAUAAAUGAAAAUAAUAUUUUAACCUUAAUAGCUGAAUUUCUUGGUUUUUGUUUUUUGUAAGUGAUCGGUAAAAUUGGGUUCACCUGAAGUGCCAACACAGGCAACUUGUGUAAAAUGCCAGUUGAAAGAGUGUGUUUGAGUUGUAAAUGCCCAAUGGAGAUGGGCUCACAGGUGCCCUCUGCUUUUUUUUCCAGUUAAUUAGGAAUCUUCUGAGAGUAGGUUGUCAUUUGAUCUCUGAACCAUUAAAUAUCUAGUACACUUCAGGAGCGCCUGGGUGGCUCAGUUGGUUAAGCGGCCGACUUCGGCUCAGGUCACAAUCUUGAGGUUCAUGAGUUCGAGCCCUGCGUCGGGCUCUAUACUGACAGCUCACAGCCUGGAGACUGCUUCAGAUUCUGUGUCUCCCUCUCUCUGCCCUUCCUCUACUCAUGCUCUGUCUCUCUCUCAAAAAUAAAUGAACAUUAAAAAAAAUUUUUUUAAAUAUCUAGUACACUUCUGAUUUUGGAUAUUUGGCUUUUCCCCAGAGUAUUAUCCAAAGUGAAUUGGAUCGCUGCAGGCCAAACAUCCCCUUAGGUCUCUAAGGAAGCUGGAAGGGGAUGCAAAAUAUGGCAAAGCCUACCGUCAGCUCUGAAAAGCAAGGUGGAAGGUUCAGGGACUUUCCCCUUCAGACACUGCUACUUGCAGGCAAGGGGUGACCGCCUGGGCCAGGAUCAAAGGGGUGAUGUGCUGUAAGCCCAGCGUGCACUGGCAGAGAGGUGGGUCCCUCUCCCCUUCCUGUUUGAGUAACUUUUCUCCCACCCCACCUCCUCAUUUUUUCACUGCCUCCCAAACACUGUCUGUUAUAUACUACGGUCUGAUUUUCAGGCUUCAAAGGAAUUUUCUUUGAAAGAUGGAAGAACUUAACACUUUAGGGCUCAUUUUAUUUUUAAAAGAAACAAGCGGGGUAGCCCUACCGUGCAAAACACCAAUGAGGCUGCAAACUUGGAAACCGGUCCAAGAAUCAUUCUUUCAUUCCAUCCUUGGCCUGAAGACUGAAGCAAGUUGCACAAAAAGUUCAUAAACACAAAGGGGUCCAAUUGCAUUCAAGCUCCCCCAGUGAGGAUGAGCAUACCCGUGAAGCCACAUGUUCGCCAUACCACGAGAGUAUAUAAGGUUUACUUGCUUGCGAAAAUAGACAGCAACUUUUAGAAUACCUGACUGUGCUUCACAAGUCAACUUUUAACCCUUUCCUAAACACUGUAAAGCCCCAAACUGGCUAAGUGGGUUAAAAAAGGGAGGGGGGGGGAGGAAAGGAAAGGAAUGAUCUCAAGCAUAAAGCCCUUCAAAAAAAACUAUCUAAAAUCCUGGACUUGAAUACACCAAAGAUAAGGAUCUGAAGUGGUUAAGAGAGUGAUCUUUUCUUUUUCCUUCAAAGGAAUAAGCUCUGUAGCAACUUCCUAGGAUCUGAUGUCAACACAACUGUUGUCUCUGGAGCUGGGAGUUCUCGGGGCAUCCUCAAGCCCCGGGCAGAGGCCAGGGUGCGCUCCUGGCGCAAUGCAGACUGGCGCACAGCAUCCCUCAGGACCUGUUUGCGUUUUACUCACAGAGAGAACAAGUACUGGCAAGGGACAAAAAAAAGAACAUGUUUUGCAAACAAUCAGAGUGACCUGAAACCCAGGGUGAAGACCGAAGUCAGCCUGAGCCAGGCUCUGUGCAACGCUGGCUUAGUGGAGUGCUCUGGAGAGGGAACAGGCUUCUCGCUUUCCCAUUCACCCAGGAGGACCUCUCACCUAAGGCCACGCCCCACCCCCCAUCGGGGCUGCUUUCCUUUGUUUAGCUUUGUAGGCGAGCUGGGAGCAUCUCUGAAAUGAGAUGAAUGCCCAAAGGAAAGAGCCCUCGUUUUUUUUUUUGUUUUUUUUUUUCUGGAGCUGAAAGCAACCCAGGAACUGGGCAUCCAGUCGAAUGCUUUCAUCUUCAUUUGGCACCCGAAGAAAACGAGACCCAGACAGCUUGAGACUACGACAAUCACGAGGUACUGGACAGCUGGGCCCAGUACUGGGGUCUCCAGAACUCCUGGCCCAGGGCUCCUGUCACACUGUGAUGUGAUCUUCCCAGCCCCCUACUUUCCUGCAAAGAGAGGGAUCUCUCAGACCUUUAAAACCACACGACCCCUUUUGGGAUAAUCCACGCACAAAUCUCCUUUGACACGGUUGGAAAAAAUUUUUUUCUUUUUAGGUUUUUUAACGGUUUUUUUUUUUUUUUAAAGUGAUCUCUACGCUCAAUGUGGGGCUCAAACUCACAACCGUGAGCAAGAGUCCUGUGCUUCACCAACAGAGCCAGCCAGGCGCCCUGCUGUUGGAAGUUUUGAAAUAGAUUAUCUUCCCCCAUUUUCCAUUUCUGAACCUGCCUACUCAAGGUAUUUUCCUCCCAAAUGCACCUGCCCCCAUUCCACAAACUGAGGUCUCCUAAGUAAAGCCUAUUAAAUGUAUUUCCACCUCAAUUGCACCACACCUCCAUCUACAUAACUAAAGCCUGAACUCCCCCACCCCAUCCCCCAAGUCUACUUUUUCCUGUCUGGCAGGUGGGCAGACCUUAUCUUCCUAAAUUGACAUUCCCAGCCCACCCAGCGCUCUGCAGGAGCACAGUAGAUACACUUGGAACCUGUUGCUUCCAACCUCCUCUGCCCUCUCUAAAAUGCCUGCCAUAAUUCCUCCACCCCAACCCCCAUCCUUUGAAAUUUCUAAACCCUGGUAGAGGAAGCGCCUCAGGCUCUUAAUAAGCUCAGUCAUGCUCAAAAUAUCCGCUUCACCCACGAGGUAUAUAGUAGCCGGCAAUUCUGGCCCAAGCACCCCUUUAGGGAAAAGAUGAUCUUUCUUCAAGACUCCGUAUUCAGAAUUCCUAAAAAAGACCACUCUUGCUUAUUUUCGUCCCUGUACCUGUGAACUUGCAACAGUCCAGGACACUGUCUGCAAUACCCAUCAUUCACCUAUACACGGUAACAAUAGGGGAUUAAGAAAUCACCCUUCAUGCGGCUGUGACCACAGAGAGUACAUAUUGCAACUUUCCUCCCCUGGAACUUGCAAAACUUACAGGAAAUCUUCCACACCUACAUAGUAAAUCCACUGCCAGAAAAAUGAAGUGUAAACACUUUAUAUUAAAUUAGCCAGGUGUUUAAAAAAAUAACAUUAUCCCAAUCCAAUAUUUUCGAAUCCUGGCUCACUUUCAAGGCUUACGGUGCAUACAGGGGCAGAGGUGUGCCAGGCACGCGCCCUUGUCCCCCCUUUGUAAGGGGCAUGUUUUGCUUUUUUGAUACAAACAAUCUGCAAAUUAGUACACAUGUAAAAUAACCCCGAGAGGAAAGCAGACAGUGAUCCUAUUUUCUUUACCUGGGAUUUCCCUCCAAAUCUUUACACUGGACAACGAUGGACAUCAAAGAUAUAAAUCUAUUUAUCUAAAGAUAAAUCUUUAAUUGGGUCCUAGACUAGACAUAUUUUUGAAAGAAGCAUCCACGAAAAUGAAGAAACAGCAAACAGGAAAAAGUGGGAAACGCUAAUGUGUCUCAGUUUAUAGAUGAAUGCGUCAAUACAUGUUUGUGAGACAGUCUAUGCAAAAAAUCAACGAGCCCUCAAAUACUGUCACUUACCUCAGUCUCUUCCUAUUGCCCUCUGGGUGCACAUCAUCCCCUGAUGUGGCCCCAUGUCCCUUGCUCGCCUUCGGGGAGGAGGGACACUAUGGCAAGGGGUAACAUUCCUCUGCACAUACAUAGUGUCAAAAAUAUAUGAAAAAACAAACAAAACUACCAGCCUAGAGGCUAUGUUGGCAAAAUUUAAAGCAACAAUUUAGAAACAGCCUACGCCCAUUUAUGUGCCAGCUUGGCCACAUUUUUAAGGGCCCAAGUCAUGUCUGUCUGUCUGUCUACUUAAAAAAAAAAUCGUUUUAGAGAGAGUCAAGUGUUUAAAAUUUUGAGAUGCUUAAGUUCAUCUUCUGUUUUGGAGACACAGCAUGAGAGAGGAGGCAAUGUUCGCCUUAGAGGAAAAUGUGGACUGUGGGGUUGGAAAGAAGUGAGUUUAGAUUCCAUUUGCCAUUUAUUGGCUGUUGUGUGAAAAGGGACUCAGUUAUGUGUGUAAGACAGAUACUACCACCUUGUGCUAAUCAGUGCAAGAUUAAAUGUGAUAAACCAUGGAACUGUAGUAUUUUUCCUGGGAUGUCAUAGGUCCUCUGUGAACAGGGUUUCCAUAGGUCCUAGGGUUCUCUAGUCCUGCCUCUGCCACCUAUCUGCCACUUAGCUGACAUGUGCAUGGGAGAGUCUCACUCUGUGACCCACUGGCCUCUAUCUUAUCCCCUGGCCUUAUGGGCCUUAUGGGCCACCACCUGCCGGGAAGGGCAAAGGAAGACACUAAGAACCAUGUUCCCGAUUGGUUUCACGUAUCAGCAUACACACAAGACUUCGCUUCUGGGGGAGAGUUGUGUGGCCAAGAAAAAGAAUAGAGAGAUGCCAGGGUAGCUCAGUCGGUUGAGCGUCCAACUCUCGAUUUCGGCUCAGGUCAUGAUCUCAGGGUCAAGGGAUCAAGUCCUGAGUCAGGCUCUGAGGUGAGCCUGGAGCUUGCUUAAGAUCCUCUCUCUCUCUCUCUCUCUCUCUCUCUCUCUCUCUGCCUCCCUCCCCCUCCCUCUCACUUGCUAUCUCUCUUAAAAACAAAAACUAAGACAGGAUUCAGAAAUAUUUCAGAUUUUAUCUCUGCUUGGACAAAUAAAAAUAUUACAAAUUUCAGAUUGACUUGGCAUUCUAAUUCUAGUUUUUUACUGCUGUUCUUAAAUCCCUUUGCUCCGAAAUAAUCCUCAUUUAAUGCAAGGUGGGCAGUAGCUUACCUAACACAUCAUCAUCUGAAGGUUCGUUGUAGUUUUGGUUACUAUUUUGAAGAGUCCUCAAGCUGCAGGCUGGGGGAUGGGGAGGUUUGGGGAGGGCCAGGGGCAAAUUACUUUCUAGAGCCUGCCAAGAAAGCUUCCACAGCAUGGAAGUUAAACCUUCAACUUCCAUCAGGCAGUAAGCUCUUUUUAGAUGAGAAAGAGAAUUUUUUCUAUGUUUCAAAAAACUUCACAGAGGUCUUCAAAAAAACAAAAAACAAAGAACCAACCUCCUAAUACAAUUUUCUCCUAAAUUGCUUUAUUCACCUUUUACAUGGGUUGGGUGAAGAUUCUCUAUAGCAAAGGUAUAUACAAGCUCCUUUCUGGAGGGCAAUGAGACAAUUCCCUGCAAACAGUGAAGAGGUGAAGAAGCAUCCUCCUUGUUAAUUACCGGGUAAGGUGGGGGUAAGUGAUAAUAACACAGUGUCGCCAAAGGUUGGGUAGGUAUCACCAACUGUCCUCAGUGCUCAAAUAAACCGACAGAGCUACGACUAUUCCAAAGGGCUCAACAACCAGUUUCUGCUCUCAGGUUCAUAGGCUGUGCGAAUUUAGGGGCUCUACAGGAACCACUCAGAGGCUCGCUUGGGAGCUAAGUAAAAAUAAUUGCCAUUAUGAUUUUCCAGGUCAAAGGAAUUUCUUCCAGGUUCCACCAGCUAGACCUCUGCGUUGCAACCAAGAACAUGUGCAAGCUGUUUGAAAAAAAACAUUGGCUUUGUGCACAGGCACCCCGGGCUGGCUUCUCCGCGUGGAGGGAGGGGAAGGACAGCCAGCUGGCUAGAGCAGCAGUCAGACUGUCCAGUUCUCACGCCACCUGCACCUCCCUAUCUAGAACCUACUGCUCUUGCUUCACAGAAACGAUCCCUGGUGCCAGUGCCACAGGGACAUUCCUUCAUCCUAAUCCCACCGGCUCCAGGCCACUGGGAUGGUAAGGAGGCUUCCAAGAGUACGCCGACCACCUGCUCCUCGGACCUCCCUGCUCUGGGCCCGUAUCAAGGAAGAUAAUGUACUUGCUCAUCCAGCCAGGAAGGGUGUUAGUGAAUUCCUGGUGCAGGCACAGUCCGGAGUUCUGAGAAGCGGCUAUGAGUUUGUGCUCCAGGUUACUACUGAAAAGCUGCGGACGGACCGUGCUGUAUUUCAGGGCACGGUGAAGAUUUUACCGAAUCGCAGCAAGGAUACACAAAUACAACCUCUUACCCGACUGGCCCCUGCUCCAACCACCCUGGCUCCUUUUUCUUUCUUGAAGAAGGCAGACCCUGUCAUGACUCUGACCCAUGAUGCAUGCUGUUCCUUCUGCCUGGCUUACUCUUCUUCCCACUCCCAACCUGCCUUGCAGCAUUUAGUGCUGGGUGAUUGUCUUCACCCCCAAAGACUUCUUCUCCCCAUCACCAUCUCUGGGUAAGAGCCCUUCCUGCUGCCCUAUCAUUUUAAGACACAGCAUCCGCUUCAUGUCUCUCAAAGCACUGACCACAUUCACAAUCAAAAACUUAUUUUUAGGGGCGCCUGGGUGGCGCAGUCGGUUAGGCGUCCGACUUCAGCCAGGUCACGAUCUCGCGGUCUGGGAGUUCGAGCCCCGCGUCGGGCUCUGGGCUGAUGGCUCAGAGCCUGGAGCCUGUUUCCGAUUCUGUGUCUCCCUCUCUCUCUGCCCCUCCCCCGUUCAUGCUCUGUCUCUCUCUGUCCCAAAAAUAAAUAAACGUUGAAAAAAAAAUUAAAAAAAAAAAACUUAUUUUUAAUGGUUAUUAUUACUAUUUUUUUUUUUUUUUUUUUUGCUGGAGGGAAGGAGGAGGAAGAGUUAUUGUUUCAUGGGUACAAAGUUUCAGUUGUGCAAGACAACAGUUCUGGAGAUGCCUGGUGGUGAUGGUUGCACAACAUUGGGAACGUACUUACUUAGUGCCGCUGAAGCAUAUAUUUAAACAUGGUUACGAUGAUAAAUUUUGUAUGCGCAGUACUACAAUUAAAAAACAACAACACUUAACUACGUUUAAUGCUCCUUUCUCCACUGGUGCACAGUGCACUGGGAUAGGAAUCCUAUGUUUUUUCAUCACUGUGUUCCCAGGGCCACGUCCAGAGCCUGGUCCACGGUGGUGCAGUGUAUAUUGUGCAGUGUAUAUCGGUUGCAUGAGACAUGAUAUACAUACGUGGAGUCAGGUGGUACUUUAACCCUGGACUACUACUUAGGCAAACUUUCCGAAAUCAAAGCCCUCGAAACUUACAGAAGAUGUAUAUGGGGACUCUGUAUGUAUACCUACAUAUGCAGAUUUUACUGUAUUUCCUCUUUGCCUUGAGGAAAUUCUUUGUGCCUAGAAUCCCAGAGGAACCAGAUUCCAAGAAGACCAAUAGUCCUUCUAGUAUGGUGUGCUUAUCUUGCUGAUGUGGCUAUUCAGGUCCCGUGUCAUCUGGGUUUUUUGUUUUGUUUUGUUUUUUUUGGCUUUUAAUUAGAAUCUGCCUCAAAUUCUCUUUGGCAUUAGACAAAGCAUAAAUUGAAAGCAAAUACGUAACAGAAGGGAGUUUCCUGUAGGAUAAGUAAGUACGUUUAAUGUUCUGAUGGUGAAUUGUUAUCAAAUAAAUAACGAUGACAAAAGUAAUAUGAAAAACUACGCUCCUUGACUCUCCUAAAAAGGAGGAAAAAUGAGAAAAAUCAGAGAAGCCACUUUUGGGAGAUGAGGAAUAAAAUGAAAGAUAGUCCUCUGGCCUCAUGGCUUGGCUGGUUUUCCCCGAGAAUAACCAAAGAAUCAUCUGAUCCAACACCAAACCCCAGCCUUCUUUUAGGUCAUAUCUGCUUUUAGGCAAACUAAAACUAAAAAAAAUUUUUUUUAAUGUUUAUUUAUUUUUGAGAGAGAGAGACAGAGGUGAGCAGAAGAGGGGGAGAGGGAGAGAGAGAGACAUGGAAUCUGAAGCAGGAUCCAGGGUCUGAGCUAUCAGCAUAGAGCCCAACGCAGGGCUCGAACCCACAAACUGCAAGAUCAUGACCUGAGCGAAAGUUGGACACUUAAUCAACUGAGACACCCAGACACCCCGGCAGACUACAACUGUUUUAAUGACAACAAUUCUCUCUCUCUGUCUCUGUCUCUUGGCCCUAAUAGAAGUAAAAGCUCAAAGUACUAGAUGAGAAGAAAAAAAAUGAGCAUUUGUUAUCCGUAAUAGUAAGUCACCUACCAUACGUGGGGGCACUCACUGCUACAUGUGCUUGGCAUGCGCUGACUUAACGUCCACAACUCUGAGAGGGAGGGCCUAUUUUCCCGUCCUCUGAACCAUAGUCUCAAGUACAGAGAGAGUGGUUUGCCCGGAGUCACGGAGCUUCGGGAGGCAGAGGCAGAAAUUCCAACUGAAGCGACUGGACUCGAGGGUCCGUGCUUCUAACCAGUAAGGUACCGUGCACGUGCACAUGACACAGAGUUUUCUACUGUAGUUCUCAUAACCUACUUUCAUAAGUCAUAGAAAGGUAUCAGCGAUAUUUCAUUGAUGAGGAGACUGAGGACCGCAAGAGGCUGUGACUUAACAAGGAGACAGAUGAUGAUAAACAGAAGUACUGAAUGCCAGGAGCUCAGCUCUCAGACUUGCAUGAGGCUCAUUUCUGUGCCUUAUAGUUCUGUCGGGGUCAUUCAGCACCAUCCCAAAGGACCAAAAGGCAAUGAAUUUGACUACAUAAAAAAGUGGAAACUUCACUCCUGUGUUUAACCUAGCACUGAAAUAUUUCUUAAUUAUAUCUACUUUAAAUGGCAUAAUUCAUACAAAUUGGUAGAGCACAGAAUUCGUACCACUCCAAACACGGUGUUUAACAACAAUGGCUUAAAAAAAAAUACAAACAGCCCCCCCUUUUUUUUUCAUAAAUUCUUCUGGAUUAAAUAUUUGUUCAUUUAAAACCUGAGUGCACCUGUCUGGAAGCCACCCCAGGUGUUGUACAUGUGGAUAAGAAUUCAAGGUAAAGAUUCCUGUCCUGAAAGAUACACAUCAGGAAGACAAGAAUACUUCCGGCUGAGUGGACCACGGGAUGGAAGGGUGCGUACGAGGCAGGAGUGCCGGAGAAGGACCUCUCAGAACAGGCAAGGGAGCCCUGGCAUUUCAGGGAAGGAGGGGGUGAAGGAUAGGCUUCCUGCAUAUUUCAACAGAAGAUUAUAACUUGCCAUCUUUAUUAGUAUAUAACCAAAAAAUUUGAAAAAAAUGACCUCAGCGAAUUUCGGCCUUUAAGAAAGAUUUUAAUCAAACAAAAUUAAAUUUGUUUAAAACAUCACAGGAUGAGGUCUAGAAAGAGGCUUCUGUCGCUGUCGAAAGUUAAUGCCUAUGGAUCGGCUAUUGCUAGAGUAGCUUAAAAUGGGCUAAUUAUUCUCCCACCCACCCCCCACCCCCCCCUUUCUCUGUCCUGGCACAAGGAAAUUUUAAGCCAUCUACAAUCCCUCCAUUAAAUUAAAAAAAUAAACAAACAAACCUCCAUUGUAAGAGGCGCCAUUGGUGUCUGCCUCCUUGUCUUCCCAUCACAAAAGCAGAGGAGUGCUAAAGAACAGACUCGCUGGUCAGUAUUUCAUGAAUUUAAAAAAGUGUAGCAUUGCUGCCUGGCCAGACACAGCGAAAAACAAAAACCUCAGUCAUUUGUUUAAACAAACUCACAAAAACAAAACCACUUCCUCAACGUACUCCGUGAAUUCUAAAAAGGAUCGCACGUUUAAUUUAAUUUUUUUUAACUUUAACUUCCACAAAUUAAAAGCAGGAUGAUAAGACCAGACAAAUGGACAUCGCCCCUCUACCCUGCUUAUCUAUUUCUGGUUUCAUUCAGCUGCCAAAACCACCGACAGCACUUCCUCUCAUCCCAACAGGAAAAUUUCAUGGCUCCUGAAGGUCUGAGUCAGAGCAGAAAGCUCAUGAAUAUUCUGAUUUUCUGGAGCUGAUGCAAGGAAAUCACUAUAAUUGAUGACCAGACACAGUUACCUACCAAAUGUCUGGUCCCUACAACUACUCUUCUGAAAUAAUUUAUCAAAAGUUGGAUUUCCAUUUUCAAAGUUAUUAACAAUAACAAGAGUCUGUUUCUGAUUUUUAACAUGAGGUUUUAUCAUUCGAGCCCUUCUUCUUUUCAAUAAAAUCUCUCUAUGCACUGGGAUCUCCAUUAAUAAACUCCUUUCGGUUUGCCGCAUUUUAAUGAAGGUGAACAGAAAGUAAACCGAAAAGAACCUUAACUUCCCACACGAAAUGGGAAGAAAUGAGUGUGCCGAAGAUUUACACGAGGCUCCGUACGCAACGGGUGCCAGGAAAUUAACAGGGCACGUGCGUCCGUGUGGUGGCGGCGGGAGACGGUGGCACCAACACCUCCCCGCGGACCGCACGAGCUCCCCAGGAGGUUCUGCUGCGGUCCGGGAUCGGACUGGAGCACGUAACUGGACGUUAGCUCGGAACAAUGAGACCCUGGUUCAAUUUGAGAACGCACGCCCUCCUUCCAUUUAAUUUUUCUCUUUUACAAACCUACUUCCAUCUUUUAUUUUCCUUUUACGUUGUGCACUGCUCACAAGCACAUGAGCAACGAACGUGGAGGGACCCAUCCAAGUUAUUUACUCCGCGAGCCUCCUCCCGCUGCAAAGCGGCAACAAUGCCGCGGAAGUCGGAGGGUGGACCACCCUCUUCCCAUAACUUUAGGACAGCCGGUUUUCCAUCAAAAUUCAAUUAUCGCUAAGGAGAAACCAGGGUUUGUAGUGAAACGGUUUAGAACGGUUUACUUCUUUGCCAUAAAAUGGAUGAUCGACCUUCGGGAAACCCAGACCGCCCCCCGUCCCGAGGGAGGCAGCGUGGCUCUGGCACCGUGGGAUCGACCCCUCGAGACGGAAACCACGUUCCCAUAAAGAAACUUGAGCCACCAAAGGGAUUAGAUGACAUGAUCGGAAAUACAUGAGAAAUACUUUCUGCAUUUUCCGCUAUCGGGAUUAAGGAAUUAGAGGGGGGGAGGGGGCGGGAAAUCAGGACGCUUCUGUCUUCCCAAACCCGAAUGCCACACCCGGCCGCUCCCUGUUCCAUCCACUCUCGCACAUGGUGUCCGGAGACCACGUGAGGCGGCGGCGGGCGUGGCCAGAGCGUGGUCACGUGGCCGGCCAGUCCUCCCGCGCGGGCACGCGCCUGCUGAGCCCCGCCUCCCGCCAGCCAGGGCAGAAGCGGGCGGCCACGAGGGGUCUGCGGCGCUGCGGUGGCGGCGGCGCUCCGGAAUCCGGUCCGCCCGAGCACGUGCACUAACUUUAACGGAUGCGCUGGAACUUUUUCCAGCGCUGGGCUUGCGGUCUAGAAAUAACACUCAAGUAAAUGUUCCCUGUCCCCCUCCGCUCAGCCGCCAACUUUAGGACAUUCACCAAGGCACUGCAAACACGAAAAGAACCUCAGUACUCGGUAGCAUGAAUUCUGUGCGGCCACACCUUUAAAAGCCAUACUGGUCUCAAACGAAAGGAUCCUCAUCAGGGAAUAAUAGAAAAUUGAGGCCAGAAAUGAAUGCGCGACAGCAACCAUUUUUGCUCUGGUGUUCCCAGCAUCACAGGGUGUGCAAUAGGAGAUGAGAAAUUUGCUGUCAACCCUUGCGGCUACCUGUCCACACAGAAGCAAUAAUCCCGAAAGGCAAGGGAGUGAGGGCCACUGGAUUAAGCCCUUGCUUUCACACCAAGAAUGUGCUGACUGGAUCCGUACAAACUCCUUUCUAUGGACAGGAGAUCUAGGCUCCAAGACCGGCCUGACUUAUCCAAUAGAGGGGGCCCUCAGGUGGCAGUUGGCUUCGCUCUAAGAUCUCGGCUCUGUUAUACCUCAUUGCCUCCCAAAGGGAAAUCAAGUUUGCUUACAAAGCCUUCAGCAAUGAGAGGUGUCCAGUGGAAUGGAGGCUGGAAAGGUGGUAGCCCCUAGAAGGAGGGCCUGCUGGAGAGACCCUUAAUAGGACAACGGAGAGGUGCAGGAGCAUUGGAAGUGGAACGCAUGGAGGAGUCUUGCCUGGCAGGGUUGGCGUGGGCCUAGGACGAAGACCAGGAGUGGGAGAUGACAGCAGGGGAGGGAGAACCAAUACCAGGCGGGAGUGGAAAAGCCCCUUCAGGCAUAGCUAUCUGAAAGUGAAAUAUAAGGGGACCCUUGUAAAAUACUAUGUCAUGAAACUAGGUGCUGAGGGCUGGUCCAGGAUACAGAAGGGGGGAUUGCAUGCCUUUUGAAAAUGUUUUUUGACCACUACAAUCGCUCCCAUGUGGAUAAACGUGUUCCAUUAAUUUUAAUUAUUCCAGCAACUGUCAUAUUACUAGAGAAACAGAGACGGGGAUGCAGAGAGAGAAGUAAAAGAAAAAAAAAACAAACACGAUCAUGUGAAGGGAAAA